rnacentral:tmRNA from 1 species
GGGGUUGUACUGGUUUCGACGGGGGUUUUGAAAUUGUGGAAGCCAUUCGUGGACUAGGACCACGUAAAAACUUAGAAAUAAAUAUAAACGCAGACGAAAAUUUAGCGUACGCUGCCUAGCGGCAGCUGUCGACCUUAAGCCUCCUGCGGCUUAAGACCUCGGCAUCAAAUUUGCAGGGCACUUUAUUUCCAAAGCUUUGAGGAGAUAAAAGAACUUAUGAAGCUACUAAAGUCUAUAGCCUGUCUCUCGGCGAUAGAUGGAGGGAAUGUUAAAAGAUAGACUGUAAUGGGAGAUGCUACAAUGGAUGGGCUUUCGGACAGGGGUUCGAUUCCCCUCAGCUCCAU